rnacentral:rRNA from 1 species
UUAGUGGCGAACGGGUGAGUAACACGUGAGUAACCUGCCCUUGACUCUGGGAUAAGCCUUGGAAACGGGGUCUAAUACCGGAUAGGAGCAUUCACCGCAUGGUGGGUGUUGGAAAGAAUUUCGGUCUUGGAUGGACUCGCGGCCCAUCAGCUUGUUGGUGAGGUAAUGGCUCACCAAGGCGACGACGGGUAGCCGGCCUGAGAGGGUGACCGGCCACACUGGGACUGAGACACGGCCCAG